rnacentral:rRNA from 1 species
GAUGAACGCUGGCGGCGUGCCUAAUACAUGCAAGUCGAGCGAACAGAUAAGGAGCUUGCUCCUUUGACGUUAGCGGCGGACGGGUGAGUAACACGUGGGUAACCUACCUAUAAGACUGGAAUAACUCCGGGAAACCGGGGCUAAUGCCGGAUAACAUUUAGAACCGCAUGGUUCUAAAGUGAAAGAUGGUUUUGCUAUCACUUAUAGAUGGACCCGCGCCGUAUUAGCUAGUUGGUAAGGUAACGGCUUACCAAGGCAACGAUACGUAGCCGACCUGAGAGGGUGAUCAGCCACACUGGAACUGAGACACGGUCCAGACUCCUACGGGAGGCAGCAGUAGAGAAUCUUCCGCAAUGUGCGAAAGCCUGACGGAGCAACGCCGCGUGAGUGAUGAAGGUCUUCGGAUCGUAAAACUCUGUUAUUAGUGAAGAACAAAUGUGUAAGUAACUGUGCACGUCUUGACGGUACCUAAUCAGAAAGCCACGGCUAACUACGUG